rnacentral:rRNA from 1 species
GAUGAACGCUGGCGGCGUGCCUAAUACAUGCAAGUCGAGCGAACGGACGAGAAGCUUGCUUCUCUGAUGUUAGCGGCGGACGGGUGAGUAACACGUGGAUAACCUACCUAUAAGACUGGGAUAACUUCGGGAAACCGGAGCUAAUACCGGAUAAUAUUUUGAACCGCAUGGUUCAAAAGUGAAAGGCGGUCUUGCUGUCACUUAUAGAUGGAUCCGCGCUGCAUUAGCUAGUUGGUAAGGUAACGGCUUACCAAGGCAACGAUGCAUAGCCGACCUGAGAGGGUGCUCGGCCACACUGGAACUGAGACACGGUCCAGACUCCUACGGGAGGCAGCAGUAGGGAAUCUUCCGCAAUGGGCGAAAGCCUGACGGAGCAACGCCGCGUGAGUGAUGAAGGUCUUCGGAUCGUAAAACUCUGUUAUUAGGGAAGAACAUAUGUGUAAGUAACUGUGCACAUCUUGACGGUACCUAAUCAGAAAGCCACGGCUAACUACGUG